rnacentral:rRNA from 1 species
GGCUCAGAACGAACGCGGGCGGCGUGCCUAACACAUGCAAGUCGAGCGCGAAAGGGGCUUCGGCCCCGAGUAAAGCGGCAGACGGGUGAGUAACACGUGGGCAACCUGUCCCUGAGUGGGGGAUAACUACUCGAAAGGGUGGCUAAUACCGCAUAAGACCACGGCCUUGCGGGGCUGGGGUCAAAGGCGCAAGCCGCUUAGGGAGGGGCCCGCGGCCGAUUAGCUAGUUGGCAGGGUAACGGCCUACCAAGGCGACGAUCGGUAGCUGGUCUGAGAGGAUGAUCAGCCACACUGGUACUGAGACACGGACCAGACUCCUACGGGAGGCAGCAGUGGGGAAUAUUGCGCAAUGGGCGAAAGCCUGACGCAGCAACGCCGCGUGGGUGAUGAAGGCCUUCGGGUCGUAAAGCCCUGUCAGGUGGGACGAAACAAAUGACGGUACCACCGAAGGAAGCACCGGCUAACUCCGUGCCAGCAGCCGCGGUAAUACGGAGGGUGCAAGCGUUGUUCGGAAUCACUGGGCGUAAAGGGCGCGUAGGCGGCCGCACAAGUCCGAUGUGAAAGCCCGGGGCUCAACCCCGGAAGUGCAUUGGAAACUGUGUGGCUUGAGUUCGGGAGAGGAAGGCAGAAUUCCCGGUGUAGGGUUGAAAUCCGUAGAUAUCGGGAGGAAAACCGGUGGCGAAGGCGGCCUUCUGGAACGAAACUGACGCUGAGGCGCGAAAGCGUGGGGAGCAAACAGGAUUAGAGACCCUGGUAGUCCACGCUGUAAACGAUGGAUGCUGGGUGUGGGAUUCAAUACGGAAUUCCGUGCCGAAGCUAACGCAUUAAGCAUCCCGCCCGGGGAGUACGGUCGCAAGACUAAA